UGGGGAAUUUUGGACAAUGGGCGAAAGCCUGAUCCAGCAAUGCCGCGUGUGUGAAGAAGGCCUUCGGGUUGUAAAGCACUUUUGUCCGGAAAGAAAUCCUUGGCUCUAAUACAGUCGGGGGAUGACGGUACCGGAAGAAUAAGCACCGGCUAACUACGUGCCAGCAGCCGCGGUAAUACGUAGGGUGCAAGCGUUAAUCGGAAUUACUGGGCGUAAAGCGUGCGCAGGCGGUUUGCUAAGACCGAUGUGAAAUCCCCGGGCUCAACCUGGGAACUGCAUUGGUGACUGGCAGGCUAGAGUAUGGCAGAGGGGGGUUAGAAUUCCACGUGUAGCAGUGAAAUGCGUAGAGAUGUGGAGGAAUACCGAUGGCGAAGGCAGCCCCCUGGGCCAAUACUGACGCUCAUGCACGAAAGCGUGGGGAGCAAACAGGAUUAGAUACCCUGGUAGUCCACGCCCUAAACGAUGUCAACUAGUUGUUGGGGACUUCAUUUCCUUGUAACGUAGCUAACGCGUGAAGUUGACCGCCUGGGGAGUACGG
rnacentral:rRNA from 1 species